rnacentral:rRNA from 1 species
AGCAUAUCAAUAAGCGGAGGAAAAGAAACCAACAGGGAUUGCCCUAGUAACGGCGAGUGAAGCGGCAACAGCUCAAAUUUGAAAUCUGGCUUCGGCCCGAGUUGUAAUUUGUAGAGGAUGCUUUGGGCGCGGCUCCAACUGAGUUCCCUGGAACGGGACGCCACAGAGGGUGAGAGCCCCGUAUAGUUGGAUGCCUAGCCUAUGUAAAGCUCCUUCGACGAGUCGAGUAGUUUGGGAAUGCUGCUCAAAAUGGGAGGUAAAUUUCUUCUAAAGCUAAAUAUUGGCCAGAGACCGAUAGCGCACAAGUAGAGUGAUCGAAAGAUGAAAAGCACUUUGAAAAGAGGGUUAAAUAGCACGUGAAAUUGUUGAAAGGGAAGCGCUUGUGACCAGACUUGCGCCGGGCGGAUCAUCCGGUGUUCUCACCGGUGCACUCCGCCCGGCUCAGGCCAGCAUCGGUUCUCGUGGGGGGAUAAAGGCCUCGGGAACGUAGCUCCUCCGGGAGUGUUAUAGCCCGGGGCGUAAUGCCCUCGCGGGGACCGAGGUUCGCGCAUCUGCAAGGAUGCUGGCGUAAUGGUCAUCAGCGACCCGUCUUGAAACACGGACCAAGGAGUCAAGGUUUUGCGCGAGUGUUUGGGUGUUAAACCCGCACGCGUAAUGAAAGUGAACGUAGGUGAGAGCUUCGGCGCAUCAUCGACCGAUCCUGAUGUAUUCGGAUGGAUUUGAGUAAGAGCGUUAAGCCUUGGACCCGAAAGAUGGUGAACUAUGGUUGGAUAGGGUGAAGCCAGAGGAAACUCUGGUGGAGGCUCGCAGCGGUUCUGACGUGCAAAUCGAUCGUCAAAUCUGAGCAUGGGGGCGAAAGACUAAUCGAACCAUCUAGUAGCUGGUACCGC